UACGGAGGGUGCGAGCGUUGUCCGGAAUCACUGGGCGUAAAGGGCGCGUAGGUGGCUCGUGAAGCGUGCGGUGAAAGUCCGAGGCUCAACCUCGGAUCGGCCGUGCGGACUCGCGGGCUCGAGCGUUGUAGAGGCGGGUGGAAUUCCGGGUGUAGCGGUGGAAUGCGUAGAGAUCCGGAAGAACACCGGUGGCGAAGGCGGCCCGCUGGGCAACUGCUGACACUGAGGCGCGACAGCGUGGGGAGCGAACAGG
rnacentral:rRNA from 1 species